rnacentral:rRNA from 1 species
GACGAACGCUGGCGGCGUGCUUAACGCAUGCAAGUCGAACGGAAAGGCCCUGCUUUUGUGGGGUGCUCGAGUGGCGAACGGGUGAGUAACACGUGAGUAACCUGCCCUUGACUUUGGGAUAACUUCAGGAAACUGGGGCUAAUACCGGAUAGGAGCUCCUGCUGCAUGGUGGGGGUUGGAAAGUUUCGGCGGUUGGGGAUGGACUCGCGGCUUAUCAGCUUGUUGGUGGGGUAGUGGCUUACCAAGGCUUUGACGGGUAGCUGGCCUGAGAGGGUGACCGGCCACAUUGGUCCUGCGUUACGGCCGAGCCUCCUACGGGAGGCAGCAGUGGUGAAUAUUGCACAAUGGGCGGAAGCCUGAUGCAGCAACGCCGCGUGCGGGAUGACGGCCUUCGGGUUGUAAACCGCUUUCGCCUGUGACGAAGCGUGAGUGACGGUAAUGGGUAAAGAAGCACCGGCUAACUACGUG